rfam:Stegodyphus mimosarum contig67395, whole genome shotgun sequence.
GCCUUCGUGGUGUAAUAGCCAGCACGCUCGACGCGUAACCAAGAGAUCCGUGUUUCGAAUCCCGGCGAAGGCU